UACGAAGGGGGCUAGCGUUGCUCGGAAUGACUGGGCGUAAAGGGCGCGUAGGCGGUUUGUACAGUCAGGUGUGAAAUUCCCGGGCUCAACCUGGGGGCUGCACUUGAUACGUAUGGACUGGAGUGGGGAAGAGGGUCGUGGAAUUCCCAGUGUAGAGGUGAAAUUCGUAGAUAUUGGGAAGAACACCGGUGGCGAAGGCGGCUCACUGGCUCAUAUCUGACGCUCAGGCGCGACAGCGUGGGGAUCAAACAGG
rnacentral:rRNA from 1 species